UACGUAGGGGGCAAGCGUUGUCCGGAUUUACUGGGCGUAAAGGGCGCGUAGGCGGCCACUGCAAGUCAGUUGUGAAAUCUCCGGGCUUAACCCGGAAAGGUCAACUGAUACUGCAGGGCUAGAGUGCAGAAGGGGCAACUGGAAUUCUCGGUGUAGCGGUGAAAUGCGUAGAUAUCGAGAGGAACACCUGCGGCGAAGGCGGGUUGCUGGGCUGACACUGACGCUGAGGCGCGAAAGCCAGGGGAGCGAACGGG
rnacentral:rRNA from 1 species